CUUGUGGAUCUAUAGAGGUCCAUAUAUACAGAGUGUAGCAUCCACUGGGUAAAGGCAGUGAUAUGCAGGGGGGUCAGUGGCUUUUUCCCUUUCAGGUUCUUGUGUCAACUGAUGACUUUCUUGUUGUAGCUGCUUCUCGGGUUCCACAUUGAAGUUUCAUAGCUGAGUAACAGGAGAAGAGUCUGGUGGAGCAACAGAGGAACAAUUUCAGCCAUUUGGACUCAGCUCAGCCACUACAGAGGAAAAAAUGACUUCAACACAAAAGGACCAACAUGGAGCGAGAAGUCAGCGCUCUCAGGAGGCCGACAAACCUCACAGAAGAA